ensembl:lncRNA
AUAUGGAAAUGUGACCUUAAUGACUAUGCAAAUCCACAGCGGCACGGACACGACGGUUCUCAGCAGUCCCGAGCAGAGAGAGAGAGAGAGAGAGAGAGAGAGAGAGAGAGAGAGAGAGAGAGAGAGAGAGAGGGAGAGAGAGAGAGAGAGGGAGGGAGAGAGAGAGGAUGGAAUGAGAGAUGGUGAGAGGGAGACAGACACAGAGAGAGAUAGAGGCAGACAGACGGAGAGAGAGAGAGAGAGAGAGAGGGAGAGAGAGAGAGAGAGGGAGAGAGAGAGAGAGAGAGAGAGAGAGAGAGAGAGAGAGAGAGAAAGAGAGGGAGAGAGAGAGAGAGAGAGAGAGAGAGAGAGAAGAGAGAAAAG